rnacentral:misc_RNA from 1 species
GUAGGUGAACCUGCGGAGGGAUCAUUAACACGUGUAAAAACGUAUUUUAAAAAAACCCUAACCUAACAACCAAUACCGUGAACUAUGUUAUAAUAUAUUUAUUAUUAUACCUUUUCUUGACUUUUAUGUUUUACUAGUAACAUAGUAACUCAUGAUAGAUGAAAAAAACAAACCCUUUUCCAACCUUUAUUUUUUUCUAUCUGUUUGUUAUAUAUACGUUUCUUUGUGAGACUAUAUAUAUAUAUUAACA